rnacentral:rRNA from 1 species
UGCCAGCCGCCGCGGUAAUACGGAGGGUGCAAGCGUUAAUCGGAAUCACUGGGCGUAAAGAGCACGUAGGCGGCUAAGUUAGUUGGAUGUGAAAGCCCCGGGCUUAACCUGGGAACUGCACCCAAUACUGCUUAGCUAGAAUAUGGUAGAGGGAGGUAGAAUUUCCGGUGUAGAGGUGAAAUUCGUAGAUAUCAGGAGGAACACCGAUGGCGAAGGCAUCUCUCUGGGCCGAUAUUGACGCUGAGGCGCGAAAGCGUGGGUAGCGAACGGGAUUAGAUA